CGUGUUAGUGUCCCGGUGCCAGCGUGAGGCCAGAGUAGUAGUGUUGUUGCAGCUGCAGCUUCCGCGUGUAAACCUAGAACCGUAAUAUAAGGCUUAUAAAAAUAGAAAUUGAAGUGAUUUGAGGACGAUUCGAUUUCCAAUUAUGGCCGAAACGUACGAGGAGUACGAGGAGACGCAUCAUGUCACCAGAAAGACCACCUUCAAGAUCGAGGAAACGUCGUCAUCGACCACGACCAAGACCAUAACGACUCCGGCGAAGCUGUACGGCAAGGAUGUCGGUGCGUACGAUGACAUCGACGUGGAUGAGCUGCUCGCUCAGCUGUCUCCGGAGGAGAUUUCCAUGCUCGCGAAGGAGGUCGAUCCGGACGAUUCCUUCCUGCCGCCGAGCCAGCGUACGAACUACGAGUGUGAAAAGGCCCCAACUGGGCCACUCGAUCGUAAGAAGCUGAUCGAUCACAUCAACAAGCAAGCCCUUGAGACACCGGAUCGCCCGGAACUGGAGCCCUUUGUGCCGGGUGUUGUGCGAGGCAAGAAGUGGAUUCCACCACCACCAGCGGCUAAGCUGCAGGCAGCUGAUGAGCAGAUCGCAAUCGAUCUGGGUGAUGAGUACGAACAAGCGCUGACCGAUGCGACACAGGAGGAGAUCAUCGAUCUGGCCGCUAUCCUUGGUUUCCACUCGAUGAUGAACCAGGAUCAAUACCACGCCUCACUGCUCAACAAGGGCCAACCCGUUGGGCUCGGUUGGGAUGGCAUAACCAAGUCCGCCAUACCGAAGAUAUUCCCGGCCGAAGCACCAAACGCGACCGAUCCUGAGGAAACGAUCCAGCGCAUCAAGAGCGAUGACAGCAAGCUGGUUGAGGUUAACCUGAACAACAUCAAGACCAUUUCGGAUGAGCAGUUCGACAAGCUGUUCGAGGCGUUGAAAUCCAACACACACCUGGAGGUGUUGUCGCUCACGAACGUCGGUCUGACGGAUCGCACCGCACUCAUGCUGGCUGCUGCCCUCGAACAGAACCACGCCCUGCGGGUGUUGAACGUCGAGACGAACUUCAUCAGCCCGACGGUGAUCGUGACGCUGGUGAAGAGCCUUCUAACGCAGAUGACGAUCGAGGAGUUCCGUGCCUCGAACCAGCGAUCGCAAGUGUUCGGCAACAAGAUCGAGAUGGAGAUCACGGAGCUGGUCGAGAAGAACACCACGCUGUUGCGGCUGGGUUUGCAUUUGGAGUUCAACGAUGCCCGGCAUCGGGUAGCCGCCCAUUUGCAGCGCAACAUCGACAGAAACGAUCCGGAGCAUUGCCAUCCGAUCCCGUACUAUCGGUUUCUUCACGUCCCAAUCCCGACCGAACCGGUCCCGACGAAGCGCUCCUGGGAGGAGCUUCCUUAGCCGGAACAGGCGCUGCAAUGCUGCCAAUUUUCCGCUGUUCUUUGUGGUUCUUAGACUUCUCUGCGGCGGUGAUUCUAGUGGUGCUCGAAGCCAGAGUUGACAACGAAAGCUUCUCUUGUCAUAUUAACGAGUGAAAAUCUAGCAGGGCAGCUCGAAGAUCACACUAUAAGAUACCGAAGAAUGUAAUUUAGAAAUGCGGAAGUGUAGCAUACGAGAUCAGGAUAAUUACUUCUUGAAAGCAUAACAACAACAAAAUCCUCUAGCAGGUGUACUAUCUUUGUGUAUUGUUCUCUAAAUAGGAAUCAUUGAAGGACAACGAGAUGCCCCCGUUGAUUCCAACGCAGUGUAUCGUGUUGAAAUUUGCUAGUUUUGUAUAUUUAUGUACAAUUUUUGUUGUUUCACGAAACCAUAAUCUAAUGCACAGUGAUGGUUCGUUUCAACGCUUCCAACGAUCUUGUUAGUGAGCGAUAUUGUUUGUUUUACUUUGUUUUUUGAUUUUAUUGGUUACGAGAAUAUUUCGUUUCGUUUUCCUACCUCGUAAGACAUGAGAAUAUUUGAUACAUUAUACCGUGUAUUACCCUCAUAACCUCAAGACUCCUGUCCUCAUCCUGUAGAAUAAACAAAUCUUAUCAUUUACUGGUUUGCUUGAAGGAUGAAAAAUUUGAAGUUGUCGGAUCAUUGAAAAAAUCAUUAAAAUAAAAGAAAAAAAGUGAACAAAUUAAGGUAGUUUACCAUGAAAGUGCACAUCAAUAGCCUCUCCCUCAGUAGGAAGCUUAAAGAAAUAAAAUAGACAUGUGCCCACGUUUUUGUCACAUAUGUUUUCAUCGCCAGAAAAGAUACCCUUCAGCGAGGCCCUAAAUAAAUGAUUACAUUACAUCAUGUAGCAUUCAAGCUUUUUGCUCCUGCAAUUACGAUGAGAGUAACCUAAAGGUUGAACAUAUGAGAGAACAUGCCCAGAGGUCUCUUCGUAGUUGAUUAGUUAUCAUGACUUUUAGGCUUGUUUAUUUUUGUAGGUAGUGUGUAACCCAGUUUGUCCAUCAAAGUAUACAAUUUUACCAGUUUUAUUAAUAAACAUUAUUAUGCGUCGCGUAGGAAACAAACGUAAUAGAGAAAGGAUACUGCGAUGAAAGAUCAGAGCAGAAAUGAGGGAAAUAUCAAAGCAAAUGGUAUCGCGUCCAUCACAGAUGUAAUUAGAUGCAUGGUUCGAGCAAAUACGGUAAAUUUUCUUUAUCAAAAUUUACCUUUUUUUUCGCUCAUGUUCCUGCGCGGAUCGGGAAAUAUUUUCAAUGCGCGGAAAAUGGCAGCUUUUGCCAUCCAUUGCGCGAAUUCGAACUCUCAUGCAGCAGUUCGUUCCUGCCAGUUGCUUUCUUAUGUAUACAUGUAUGUAAAGCGUUGAAUAUAUACUGCAUCUUCGGUCAAUAUCAAUCAUAAAUCGUAUUAUAAGGACACAGUUAGAGCGCCUUGGGCAGCGUGUUUGUUCGGUCAUUUCCACAGUUCUUCCACAUCCCGAGUCGAUCAUAAAUCAUAGUUUCGAGGUUAGCAAGGCUUUUCUAGAAUAAUGUAGGAGACGAACGUGUGACAGUUGAGUUCUCUUAGAAGUUCAUAUGCUCGUAGCAAGUGAUUCGAAGCGCGUGUUUGGCUGUUGUACAUGGUUUCGUGGUGAUGGUGUCGGUAUCGGUGUUGGAGUUGGCCAACUGACCAACGGUGUCGCAGAAAUGCAUCAACGCAAUGGAUCAAUCGGGCCAGAGAUCCUGGCUACAACAGGCAACUCGAACAGGACAUCUCAGCGUGGACGAAAAGCUGCAGAAACUGAACUCAGGAUCGCCUGCAGCAAAUGUCCUACUACGAAUUGUUACGCCAGGCCCGACUGAACCAGCGCAAGUAGACCCCUACAUCACACAUCCAACCGUCUGCAACUGCAUGCACAGGCGCAACGCAGUACCAACGUAUGCGAAUCCCGGGAGGUUGUUUGCCCUUCGAACGACGCGUCACUAGCAACGCCCUGCGAACAUGUGGACUCAGCAACACCUGAACGAAGAACACAUCAAAAUUAGUCACUCGAUGCACCUCUCGCCUUUACUCUAGGUGUUGAAACGAAUCAAACAUCCUUGCGACAAACAAUUCUGAGCCCCAUACCUCCACUCGCAGGACGCGCUCAUGCAUUCGGUGCAGGAUUGGCGGCUAUUUUGCUUUCUUUUUUAUCAUCAGCUUCAUGCGCAGACAGUUUUAUCCUUCAGACUUCGGUUUUUAGAACCCGCAGCGAAUUCCUGUUAGACUAGCUAGACAUCACAAUAUUCGGGACGGGCGAAGGCGUCCCAUUAUACUGCAUCCUUUGCCUGGUAGUGGAGGCUCGUUACACAAAGCGAAAAGACGCGAUAUUUGCCUGCCAAUAAACGAGAUUCCCUUCAAAUCGGCUCGCCAUCGCGCGACGGACAGGAGAGGAACCGUUUAUGCUAUUUAUGCUACAGCUGAAAAGGCAGGAAUGGAGUGUGACAGCGGUGAAAAAACCGAACCGCCAACUUCGCUCUGUGGAAGUGGCUUUUCAAAAUGCGCGUGGCAAUAUUCGUGCGUGUGGAAACGCGGCACGCGUGCGUGUGCAACUUUUUUUAUGUUUUAGAUGAUAUUCGACUCGCUUCGACGCAACGGAUAAAAACUACGUGAAAGCAAACAAACCGUGGAAGUUUUUAAAUUAUUCAUUAUAGAAUGUUUAUGGUAUAAAUAAAAUGUAAGCAA